AUGUCAGGUAGUAAGAGUAUAAUGGAGCGUUUUCUGAAUUUGAAAAGAAAAUCACCACCACCCACAAGCAAUGAUCCUAGUCAUGAUGAAAGUCCAUCAAACGUUAGACGUACUAUACGCCCAUGUCCUUUGCCGGCCACUUCAACUCCAAGCAGGAUAGGAGGUAAAGUUAGAGCAGACCAGGUAGAUUUGGAUAAGCUACCCCACGAUCCAGCCGAUAGGAGGAGAAUAUCAGAAUAUAUAGGACCAAAGCUACAAGAUGAAGUAAGGCGGAGAUAUUUGAUUAGAGGUCCGCAUAGGCCACAACCUGGCUUCAAGUAUCCACAGAAGAGGAUAGGCAAUAUUUUACGCCGGUUUAAUCAUAAAUGGUUUGGAGACUAUCACUGGCUAGAGUACAGUGAGGAGAAGCAUGCUGCCUUUUGCUUACAUUGCUACUUGUUCAGAGAUUCCAUUGAAGGACAAGGAGGGAAUGACGCAUUUGUAGUUGACGGUUUUGAUUGUUGGAACAAGCCGGAAAGACUUCGUGACCAUGUGGGCAAAUCUCCUAAUAGUUUUCAUAAUACGGCAGUCAAAAGAUGUGAUAAUUUGCUGAAACAUAACCAAUCAGUUGUUAUUGCUCUCGACAAGCAAAGCAAAGUCACUGAAAAGGAGUAUAUGAUUCGAUUGAACAAUUCCAUAAGUGCUGCUCGAUACUUGCUGCAUCAAGGUCUAGCAUUCCGUGGUCAUGAUGAAUCAGAAGAGUCUAAGAACAAAGGAAAUUUUUGA
rnacentral:rRNA from 1 species